AUCUGGGCGGCGGAAUUCAGGAUGGCGAGCGUGUCGUUUGCGCGGCGCGUUGGUCGUUUGAUAUUUCCGUCGUCGAUCGCAGACGUCGCGACCUGUUCGCGGCCGGUCCUUGCUCGGAGGAGUCGCGUUCGAGUUCGUUGUGUACGUGUUUCGGCGCGUCACACGGCGAAGGCGCGAAUCUCUGGCUGGCCGACGGACAGUACGUUAAACGGUGUCCGAUGUCGUCGUCUCGUACGCGCGCGCAUCGGUACCGGUCGGCGACGAUUUCUUCGGGCCUCUUUCCGACCCGUCUUGAAACACGGACCAAGGAGUCUAACAUGCGCGCGAGUCGCGGGGUGUCGAGCGUACCACGCGUACGUUCGUUACGUUACGAAACCCGUACAUAUCGAAGGCGUAAUGAAAGUAAAUGGGGAAGAUGGUGUACCGAGAACACGUUCCGCGGUCAUUGGUACCGUGGCCGGACACCCGCAUUCCCGGGGCGUCUCAACGGCCCGUCGCGGAUGCGGACAACCGUCUCUCGGGACGGCUGUCGGUCUGCGACGAACCGA
rnacentral:rRNA from 1 species